rnacentral:lncRNA from 1 species
AGUAAAGUAAGACACAAACUAACAAAGAAAAAUAUUAGGUUUUAAUUAAUGAAAUAAUAAUAAAUCAAUAAAUGUUUAAUAAUUGACAUUUGUGAGCGCACAAAUUGUAAUAUAAAAACAUAAUAAUAUCUGCUGUUCCUGGAGUCUACCUAUUUCUUCAUGGAGCAAUCAAAAAAGUUGGCUUUGGUGAUGACAAGAUGUCUUGUUUAAACCUGUAUUCAGGCACUUGAUCGUGAGCUUGAUAUUUUCAAAAAGUUUUAAAAGAAGGCAGAGAUUAAAAAUGAGUUACUAUGUUGUUGUUUGAGUUAUUGAUAUAUUUUAAUCUGAGGAAAUACAACAACAAAAUCAAACAAAACAUCAUUCAUCAAAAGUUGCAUAGUGUGUAAAAAGUACAGCAAACUUUUGUAACCUGCUUCAGCAUUGUUCCAGCUACCAUAUUACCUACAUUAUCCCUAGCAGCUAGAAGUUGAACUUUAAAUUGCUUUAUAUACAUUUUUGGCAGUAUGUGUAUUAAGUUGACUAACUCAAACUUUUACUGGUUUUUGAAGUAAUUGGUUAACCAAUGAGCUGUCAAGCUAAGAAAUAAGCAUUUUUCAUUGGUAGUGUCAGUUAAAAAUGAAAUGGAUGAAGCAUCAUUCAGUGUAUUUUUCAUUUUUUGUCUAACUUUGUUGUAUAUAUUUUGAAAUAAAUUAUUUACAAAAUAUAUACAAUAAUUACAGAAUUUUAAAUGUGUUUUUUACUUGGAAUGCAUUAGUUAGGAUAUAUGCAGCAAUCUUUAAAACCGAAGAUCUACUAUAGAAAUUAGCUGAAUAUCAACUGCAAUAAUUUCUGCAAUAUAGUUAUGAAAUAACUUAGACCACUCAUGUAUCUUAAACAAUGUUUGUUGGGACUAUAUUGAGGAAAUUGCUUUAUAUGGCUUAAUUUUUAUUUUGAAAACAUUUUUUUUGUUUUCUGCUUUCCUUUUGCUUUCUUUGUUAAGUUCUAACUCAUUUUUUGCUAUUUCUUUAUGUUACAUAUAAAUAUGUACUCUAUAAAAAAGCAGAAAUUUCUAGCUUAGGGUAGGAUAUGUGAUAAAUGCUUAAUAAAGUAUAAUAAAUAAGUUAAUUAAGUAAAUAAAUAAAUUUAUUAAGUAUUUUCUACCUAAGAAGGUUGAAAAUACUAAAUAAAUGCUUGUAUAAGUAUUUUCAACCUUCUUAGGUAGAAAAUUAUAUUACAAAUAAUUAUUUGUCAUAUAAUUUUCUACAUUCAAAGUAUAAUUUUUUACCUUGAAAGUAGAAAGUUAUACCUUACUAAGCCUUCUUAGGGAGCGUGUGCAGUCACGCACCUUGUUUGCCCAUGUUUAAAGUAGUUAAUUAAGCAAUGCUGCUUAAUUUGCGGGAACCUAGCAUUACCUGAUCCUAGACAUCGUGAUCGUGAAACUGUAAAACAAAUGUGCACAAUAAAAUUCAAACAAAGUAUGCUUAAGUAUGUGAAGGAAGAAAAGACAAAUGGGCACUUGAUUUAAAAUCUCGUUUAAAUUGUUGUGUUGACCUGGUUGCAAGUGAUUCUAUAUAUCACUUUGAAUGUUACAAGUUAUUUUCAACUAACAAUGAGUAUGUUUCAAUUCAAAUAUAUUCGAAUUGAUUUCUUUCUUCUUGUAAUAAUAAUGUGUUAAUAUUUUGUGCUGUUGUUAAUAAGCGAUUACCAAAUACAGAAAAUGUAAUGUAAUGACCAAUUCUGACUGAACUUUAUGUCACGUCUAUAUUAAUGUUUCAUAUUCUCAAAAAAAUCCUAACUUAUUUUCAGGACAAAUUUGAGUGAAACAGAAAAGUCUGGUUGCAAAGAAAAUUCAACAAUGGCGGACAACUUUGAAAGGCUUUUUGGGUGGUUUGAGAGUCAAAUGGUUCCUGGUUCCUGUGACAACUUCUGAAUUGCACAAUAAUAAUCCAGGAAAGGAAGAGUUAGCAAGUUCUGAAGAGAUUUAUUCAAUGAAGCACCUAAAGAGAAAAUUAGAAAAAAAGUGUAAAGAUGACAUAAUUAUUAGCCAAACUGAAGGAAAAUCCAAUUUAGUAUGCUUUAAAGAUGCAGCUAUGUUUAUUAUUGAAAAAAGAUGGAAAGCAAAGAUGCAAACAAAGAAUAAGUUAUCAUUAAAACCGUGGCUAAGUUGAUAAAAGCAAAAAUCUUAAAUUCAAUACAGAGAAUUACUAAAUACGAUAUUGAGCAUAUCUAAAUACGAUAUUGAGCAUCAUGAAGAAAGUUUGGACCCAUUGCUUUGCCUCUUUAUGAAACAAAUUACAUCAGAUGAAUUAAAACAAUCUUCUAUUGGUCAAACUAUAACAAAAGUUAUUUGAUUGCGAUGUUAUGUGCCGCCUCUGCCUUUUGGAUUAGGAAUAGAACUAGACCACAAGUUUGGAUCGAAAUCGUUAACAAAUGAACUAUUUAAACUAGGAUUUUGCAUAAGUCCAUCAGAAUUAACAUGUUUCAAACACUCUGUUAUGGCUAACAACUAUAGCUAUAUUGAAGGAGUGAUGGAUAGAUUAUUUACUCAAUGGUGGCAGACAAUGUUUAUCAUAAUGUCUGCACAUUGAAUGGUAAAGACACUUUUCAUGGAAUGGGCAUCAUCGCUGCUGAGAUGAUAAACUCUAAAAUUUUGGAUAAUCAACGUUGAAUUAAAAGAAUAAGCUGUAGUUUAAAAGCAGCAGAAAUAGUAUCUAAAAUAAGUAUUCCGAUUUUGUGGUACAACGUUCCUGGCACAGCUGCAUUAACAAAGAUACUCUUCAAGUCCAUUGCUGAGCUUCAGUCAUCACAGACUUUUUCAUUGUCUCUCGGUGUGGACCUUUACUGGCAAGUUUUGUUCAUUUUAACUGCCGGUGAAAACCGGGCACAGUGGGACAGAUUUAUGCAACUUCAUCAAAAUGGUAAAAGUCAUCCUGGAAAAAGUCAGGUAUUCAUGGUGCCUAUCAUUAAUUUAAACCCAUCUGAUGAAAACUGCAUUUAUUCUACACUAGUUUUUAUACAAAACCAAGCAAAAUCAAUGAAAUUACCUACUCUAAGUGUAACCUUUGAUCAGAUAUUAUAUUUAAAAGCUUACAAAUUGAAAAAUCAAAGCAAUUAGAUAUAGUUAUUCGAUUGGGAGGAUUUCCAAAAUUGAUGAGCUUUCUAGGAAGUAUUGGUAUGAUCAUGGAGGGAUCAGGACUGAAUAGAUUACUCAAAUUUAUUUAUGCAAGCAACUCACCAUGCAUAUAAUGGCUGGUAAAGUAGUAGCUAGAGCACUUCAAGGCGGAUUCAACUAAGAGCUCACUUCUUAGUUGAAUCCGCCUUGAUGAGUUUACUUAUUAUACAAGUCCCUAAAGGUGAAGUCGACACUUCUUCCCUAGAAAAAAUGUAUCAAGAUCUGGUACAAGGAAAUUUGGAUUUGGAAGAUAUAAACAAUAGCAGUAUAAUCAUAAAGUUCACAAAUCUUGUUGAAAAUUUAGAAAUAGUGGAAGCUUGACUAGAGGAAGGGGUAUGUCCGAGACUACAAGGAAUAUUUGGAUCAGUACCUUGUACGAUUGCGGAGCAACCCUUGAAUCAAUGUCUACACUUACAAAGCAUCGUUUUGAGAGCAGUCAGCAACAUUUUGAAUCUGGUGAAUCACGUCGAAAAAGAGAUACUAAAGAUUUCAAAGCAUUAAAGGAACAGCUCGAGCUAUUUAAUCCUUUCAAGUUUCAAUACUCAAGACUUCAAUGUAUAUUUACUGACCUAAGUGCUGAUAAGGAUGAUGAAAUCAAUUGUGAUCAAGCAGAAUUAGUUGGUUUAGAUAUUCAAAAAAGUCUUAGUAAUAUUGCAGCUAACCAAGUAAUUAUCAAGCGUUCAAAGCAGGUCAAAGCACUUGCCACGUUGCUGCCAUCUGUCAAAGUUAAUGGCAAUGCAGUCCACGUAGACUCUAAUGUUUUGUUCUAAAGGCUAAUCAUGCUAAUAGACAGGGCCAAAGACUUAACUGACUUCUUCGAAUAUGAAUUAACAUUAGCCCACAUCUCUCUUCAAAGAUUGUUUAAUGAGGAAACCUAACAAUGCAGAGCACGGUAGAGAACUCAUCAAGGGUUCCACAAUUUUAUCAGUAAAUAAUGACACAACCUAUAUUUUUGACGGAGGAGCUUUCCUGCAUCGAGUUUUUUGGAAUCUUCCGGCCACAUAUUCGAACAUCAUGGAACAAUAUUGUACAUUUAUCACAAAAAUGUAUGGUAAUCAUAUUUCCAUUGUUUUUGAUGGUUACAAAUCAUCCAUCAAGGAUCACGAACAUCAAAGGAGAGGUAAAAAGUUCGCCAACAUUAUAUUUCAACCAAAAAACCAAGUCAACUGCAAGCAAUCUGUAUUUCUUUCAAACAGCAAUAAUGAAACUGCUUUUAUAAAAGCAUUAGAUAUGAGGCUGAGAAAAAAAGGUCAUAUUGUAGUGGAAUGCGAAGGGGACGCUGACAGAACAAUUGCUAUGAAAGGAAUCGAAAUUGCACAAAACAGAAAAUGUGUGACUAUCAUUUCUGAUGAUACAGGCAUUCUCGUGAUGUUGGUUCACAUGUGGAAUCAAAUCAUGUGCAAUCUUUUAUUGCGCCGCGAAGCUAAGAAGAGUAUCAAAAAAGAUGUGGAAACAAUAAGUAUAAAGAACGUUGCAUCAAGUCUAUUGUAUCACGUGAAAAAUUGUUUGUUGUUUAUUCAUGCUUGGGGUGGACGUGCUACUACCUCUACGCUUUUUGGUCAAGGAAAAAUAGCUGUACUGAGGUUUAUUGAAUCAAAUAGUGAGUUCGCUCAAAAUAUAUAUAUAUAAAGUCUUCCAAGAUCCCUUUGCAACACAAGAUCAGAAUGCAUGUGGUUUUGAAUAUGUAUGGUGAAAAAAAAAACAAGUCUUGCACAACUUAGGAAACAAAAAUAUAUGAGAAUGUUGUAAACUUCCAAAAAAGAAAUUCAACCAGAACGACUACCAACGACCGAAAAUACGAUCAAGAACCAGUUUUUUUGAAAUUUUUUUACAAAUUCAGCAAUGGUUGGGUGUUGAUUUGGAUGAAACAAAAAGGGGAUGGAAAAUGGAAAAAAUUUCUUAGUACCUAUAAAGACAGACAAGGAUCCUGCACCAAUUCACAUUCUAAACAUCAUAAGAUGUAAAGGUGGAUUUCCACUUACGGGAAAUUUUUCGCGGAAUGGAAAGGAAAAGAAAAUCAUCCAAUCAUGUAACAUAAAAAUUUAAGUUGUGCAAUUUUUGUUGCAUGAUUGGAUAAUUUUCUUUUCCGUUUUGUUCCGCGGAAAAUUUCUUGUAAAUGGAAAUCCGCCUUAACUGCAGCACAAAUACAAAAACACCAUGUGGAAAACAAUGCCAAUGUCAACGUCACCGAAUAAAAUUCGUGACUGCCUGCGGACAGUGCCAAGGUUUGCAGUGCACAAAUGCAACAAAAAAUGACGACUUAAAUAUCGAUGACAGCGAAAAUGACUCUGAAAGUAGCGAAGAUGGAGACGGAAACAUUUUUGAAAAAAUAUUUGACUGUUGAUUUUAUUUCCAAUUAUAUUAGCCGAAUGUAAAAAGCACUAAUAAUUAACCUUACAAGAAAAAUUAUUCAAAAUUAGUUAAAUGUACAUUUAGUGGAUUGAAAUAUAAUUUGAAAAAAUAUAUUCUCAAAACGUUUGUUUUUUGUUUUAGAUAACUAAUAAACAAGUUAGUUUUAUUCGAGGCUCAAAUUCAACUAUUUAUUAAUAAAUUUUUUGGUUAAAGAUAUCAAAUUUUGCCCAAAAUGCACAAAAACUGCUUACAUCAGCAUUUUAAACAUAUUUUCAAACCCAAUUAAUUUUCUAUAAUUUGUACACAUUAAGCUGUACACAUUAAUGUUUGUGCAAAAUUUCAUUAAGAUUAAGCAUUUUUAUAAUGAAUUAUUACAACUUAUUAACAACAGGGUCUCUAGUUUUUUUUUUUUUUGUUUUUUUUUUCUUAUUCAGAAAUUUUCCACAAAGUGAGAUGAACUAAAAUUUUCAUAACUUCUUUUUGUCCAAAAUAGGUUUCGGUGGAUUUUAGAUAUGUUAAAGUAGAUUAAAUUACGCUUCGAAUGAUACCAAAUUCAUCUUUAAUCCAAAUUUUGUCCAGGUCUGACCCUAAUUUAACUAGACUAUAAAGAAAUACUUAUUUGCGCUAGAAAUACUGACAGUUUUAAAAGUUAUUUUUCAAAUGUUUUUGCUAAACUUUACUGUUUCUUUUUUUUAUUUCACUUCUUUCGUCAUUACAAAAUUUAU